GAUAAGGUGGCUGAGUUAUAGGCUGUAAAUUGUAAAUUUAUAUACGGAUUUUUCCUUUUAUCA
rnacentral:tRNA from 1 species